GGCUCUGUAGCUCAGUGGUUAGAGCAGGGGAUUCAUAAGCCCAAGGUCGUAGGUUCAAAUCCAACCUGAGCCA
rnacentral:tRNA from 1 species